rnacentral:lncRNA from 1 species
UAUUUUAGUACGGAGAUUCAUACGACACUAUUAAAUAAAAUAUAGUUAGAAUAAAAAAAUAUAGUAAUAUGUUUCUGUAUUUUUCGAUUAGAUCGUAGAAAAUAUAUUGUAAUAUGCGAAACAUAAUAUUACGUACGAAAACAAUAAUGAUAUUUUCCUAUUGCACUUUCUCACCGCACAUAACACAAUCCCUCUGCAAUCUCAGUGAAGCCUAAGUUGCCAAUACAGUGAGAUUUUUUAGAAAAAAGGAUAAUUGCCCAUAUACCCUUCAAAACUUCAAAAAUGUCUAAUUUAUCCUCUCUUUUUUUUUCAAAUAUACCCCUCAUAUGUUCUUCCAGUAAUUCAAAUAUACCUCCGCAGUUACCACCCGUUAAGUUAUCUCGCGUUAAACGUGAGUUAAAUGUUUAUUAGAGUUUUAAAAAAAUCAAAAUAUUUUUUUGCCCUUAAUUUAAGGGCAAAUAUGAAAAGUUGGUGAUGAUAAAAAAAUAUAUUUAAAAAGAUAAAAAAAUAAAGUAUUUAUUUUGUCCCUAACUUAAGGACAAAUGAAAAAAGUUGGUGUUGAUAGAAGAUUAUAUUUGAAAUGAUAAAAUAAUUACUUUAUAGAGAUAACGGUCGUUACUAACCGUGUACUAAUAGAAAUUUAUCUAUAGGGUAUAUUUGAAAUAACUUAAAACGUUAAAAGAUUAAUUUUAAUAUUAGUCUUCUAAAAGUGAUAAAUCAGAAAAUCGGAAACUUUUCAGAAAUAUAUAAGCAAUUGCCCCUAAAAGGAAUGUACAGAGCUUUAUGUGAUUUAUAAACAAUUUUGAACGGACGAUUCAACCUUUUAAAAUUUUAGUUUUG